rnacentral:tRNA from 1 species
GGUUGUGGCUCAGUGGUAGAACACUUGCCUAGCAUACAUGAGGCACUAGGUUCGAUCCCCAGCACCA